AUUGAACGCUGGCAGUAUGCCUUACACAUGCAAGUCGAACGGUAACAGGUUAAGCUGACGAGUGGCGAACGGGUGAGUAAUGUAUCGGAACGUGCCCAGUCGUGGGGGAUAACUACUCGAAAGAGUGGCUAAUACCGCAUACGACCUGAGGGUGAAAGCGGGGGACCGUAAGGCCUCGCGCGAUUGGAGCGGCCGAUAUCCGAUUAGCUAGUUGGUGGGGUAAAAGCCCACCAAGGCGACGGUCUGUAGCCGGUCUGAGAGGACGACCAGCCACGCUGGGACUGAGACACGGCCCAGACUCCUACAGGAGGCAGCAGUGGGGAAUUUUGGACAAUGGACGCAAGUCUGAUCCAGCCAUGCCGCGUGCGGGAAGAAGGCCUUCGGGUUGUAAACCGCUUUUGUCAGGGAAGAAACGAGUUUCUCUAAUACAGAGACUUAAUGACGGUACCUGAAGAAUAAGCACCGGCUAACUACGUGCCAGCAGCCGCAGUAAUAC
rnacentral:rRNA from 1 species